rnacentral:rRNA from 1 species
GACGAACGCUGGCGGCGUGCUUAACACAUGCAAGUCGAACGAAGAGCGAUGGAAGUUUGCUUCUAUCCGUCUUAGUGGCGAACGGGUGAGUAACGCGUAAUCAACCUGCCCUUCAGAGGGGGACAACAGUUGGAAACGACUGCUAAUACCACAUACGAUUUAACCUCGGCGUCGAGGAGAGAUGAACGGUGGUCUCGAUGUAUAUGCUAUCACUGAAGGAGGGUAUUGCGUCUGAUUAGCUAGUUGGAUGGGUAACGGCCCACCAAGGCGAUGAUCAGUAGGCGGUCUGAGAGGAGGGAUGGCCACAUUGGGAAGGGGACACGGCCCAGAGUGCCUCGGGAAGGAGCAAGGGGGAAACGUGCGGAAUGGGCGAAAAGCUGACCGAGAAAAGCCGCGGGAGUGAUGACGGCCGUCGGGUUGUAAAGCUCUGUUUAUCGGGACGAAACGGCUUCCUGCGAAUAGUGAGAAGGAUUGACGGUACCGGAUAAGAAAGCCACGGCUAACUACGUG